rnacentral:ncRNA from 1 species
AAGUAUACGGUGCCCCGUUUCAGCCGGGGAGAAUAGGGAAGCAGGUGUGAAUCCUGCGCGAUCCCGUCACUGUGAUAGAGCGUGUCAGUUCAUUAUGUCACUGGAAAGGAUCCGUCCUGUUAACAGCAGGACCGGAUGAUCCGGGAAGGCGAACCGACAUGAUAUGUUCUUCAGCCAGGAGACCUGCCGGUACUUAA